UACGGAGGGUGCAAGCGUUAAUCGGAAUUACUGGGCGUAAAGCGCGCGCAGGUGGCUGAGUCAGUCGAUUGUGAAAGCCCUGGGCUUAACCUGGGAAUUGCAGUCGAUACUACUCAGCUAGAGUAUGGGAGAGGGUAGUGGAAUUCCCGGUGUAGCGGUGAAAUGCGUAGAUAUCGGGAGGAACAUCAGUGGCGAAGGCGGCUACCUGGCCCAAUACUGACGCUCAUGUGCGAAAGCGUGGGGAGCAAACAGG
rnacentral:rRNA from 1 species